GACGAACGCUGGCGGCGUGCUUAACACAUGCAAGUCGAACGAAGAGCGAUGGAAGCUUGCUUCUAUCAAUCUUAGUGGCGAACGGGUGAGUAACGCGUAAUCAACCUGCCCUUCAGAGGGGGACAACAGUUGGAAACGACUGCUAAUACCGCAUACGAUCCAAUCUCGGCAUCGAGACUGGAUGAAAGGUGGCCUCUAUUUAUAAGCUAUCACUGAAGGAGGGGAUUGCGUCUGAUUAGCUAGUUGGAGGGGUAACGGCCCACCAAGGCGAUGAUCAGUAGCCGGUCUGAGAGGAUGAACGGCCACAUUGGGACUGAGACACGGCCCAGACUCCUACGGGAGGCAGCAGUGGGGAAUCUUCCGCAAUGGACGAAAGUCUGACGGAGCAACGCCGCGUGAGUGAUGACGGCCUUCGGGUUGUAAAGCUCUGUUAAUCGGGACGAAUGGUUCUUGUGCGAAUAGUGCGAG
rnacentral:rRNA from 1 species